rnacentral:rRNA from 1 species
CGCGUAGGUGGUUCGUUAAGUUGGAUGUGAAAUCCCCGGGCUCAACCUGGGAACUGCAUUCAAAACUGUCGAGCUAGAGUAUGGUAGAGGGUGGUGGAAUUUCCUGUGUAGCGGUGAAAUGCGUAGAUAUAGGAAGGAACACCAGUGGCGAAGGCGACCACCUGGACUGAUACUGACGCUGAGGUGCGAAAGCGUGGGGAGCAAACA